UGAGGUAUAGCUCAGUUGGUAGAGUGUCUGCCUUGCAUGCACAAGUCCCUGGGUUUAAUUCCCAGCACCACAC
rnacentral:tRNA from 2 species